rnacentral:tRNA from 1 species
GCCAAAAUAGCUCAGAUGGGAAAGCAUUCGAUUGAAGAUCUAAGGGUCCCUGGUUUGCCCCUUGGUUUCGGCA